UACGAAGGGUGCAAGCGUUAAUCGGAAUUACUGGGCGGAAAGGGUGCGUAGGCGGUUAUUUAAGUCUGCCGUGAAAUCCCCGGGCUCAACCUGGGAAUUGCAAUGGAUACUGGCAGGCUGGAGUAUGGUAGAGGAAGGUGGAAUUCCCGGUGUAGCAGUGAAAUGCGUAGAGAUCGGGAGGAACACCAGUGGCGAAGGCGGCCUUCUGGACCAAUACUGACGCUCAUGCACGAAAGCGUGGGGAGCAAACAGG
rnacentral:rRNA from 1 species